rnacentral:rRNA from 1 species
CUGGCGGCGCGUUUAAGCAUGCAAGUCGAGCGGCAACGGCCGUCGGGCCCUAGAGCGGCGGACGGGUGAGUAACACGUGGACAAUCUGCCCCCCGGCCCGGGAUAGCCCCAGGGAAACCUGGAUUAAUACCGGAUGAGACGGGACCCGCGAUGGCGGGAUCCGGGAAAGGCGCUGCGGCGCCGCCGGGGGAUGAGUCUGCGUCCCAUUAGCUAGACGGCGGGGUAACGGCCCACCGUGGCGACGAUGGGUAGCCGGCCUGAGAGGGUGGACGGCCACAUUGGAACUGAGACACGGUCCAGACUCCUACGGGAGGCAGCAGCUAAGAAUCUUCCGCAAUGGGCGAAAGCCUGACGGAGCCGACGCCGCGUGAACGAAGAAGGCCGUGAGGUUGUAAAGUUCUUUUCGGGAGGGGGAACAACCGUGGCAGGGAAUGGCCGCGGGAUGACGUGAAUCCCGGAAUAAGCCCCGGCUAACUACGUGCCAGCCGCGGC